ACAACUCGACUCCGCGGAGGGGGCUGAAAGGUCGGUAAAGGAGACACACGGGGCUCUCACCCUCUAUGGCGCCUCGUUCCAGAGGACUUGGUCUCCCACCAGCCGUUAGCUUCCCACCAAUCUACAACGCUCCGAAGAGCUUUCAAAAUGGAGCUUUUGCCGCUUCACUCGCAGCUACUGAGGCAAUCCCUGUUGGUUUCUUUUCCUCCGCGCUUAUUGAUAUGCA
rnacentral:rRNA from 1 species